rnacentral:rRNA from 1 species
UACAGAGGGGGCGAGCGUUAUUCGGAAUUAUUGGGCGUAAAGGGCGCGUAGGCGGCUAAGUAAGUCUCGGGUGAAAUCCCUCGGCUCAACCGAGGAACUGCCUUGGAAACUGCUUGCUUGAGGCCGGGAGAGGAUGGUGGAAUUCCCAGUGUAGAGGUGAAAUUCGUAGAUAUUGGGAAGAACACCGAUGGCGAAGGCAGCCAUCUGGACCGACACUGACGCUGAGGCGACGAAAGCGUGGGGAGCAAACAGG